UUGCAAAUUAUCUCAUCUUUCCAUCUUCUGAGCGGUAUACUGAUCGAAUGGUUCGAGAUCAUCCCAGUGCUCUUAGAUUGAAUUUUUCAUAACAAUCUUGUGCUCAUCUGAGCAUCUGAUUGGAAACUAGGUUGGAAAUACAAUCGUAGCAAACCGGAAAAACUGUGUCCAAAUCAUUCAGGAUAACUUUGACAGUGACUGCGGUACAAGGGAAACACGUCUGGUGAAACUUAUGAUUCUCUUUAAUUGUUGUUUACGAUUUAGAUCGAUUGCACUCCGAGCUCGAAGAUCCAACCACAUAUCUUAUGCCUUCUAUGCUGCGGUAAAAUACGCAACACUCCGAUUGCCCUUACCGAGAUGGCUAGACGAAGCACGUCAAACAUAAAAGGCGCAAGAGAAAUCGAAAUGAAAAUUCUUAUGUUUCCAUAUGUUUUUCCAAAUCUAAGAAAUAAAAUAUUUAGAACUAACUGUUAAGAAAUGGAA